GCGCUCUUAGUUCAGCUGGUAGAACGCAGGUCUCCAAAACCUGAUGUCCGAGGUUCGAGUCCUCGAGGGCGCG
rnacentral:tRNA from 4 species